rnacentral:rRNA from 1 species
GGGGAAUUUUGGACAAUGGGCGCAAGCCUGAUCCAGCCAUGCCGCGUGUCUGAAGAAGGCCUUCGGGUCGUAAAGGACUUUUGUCAGGGAAGAAAAGGCUGUUGCUAAUACCGACAGUUGAUGACGGUACCUGAAGAAUAAGCACCGGCUAACUACGUGCCAGCAGCCGCGGUAAUACGUAGGGUGCGAGCGUUAAUCGGAAUUACUGGGCGUAAAGCGAGCGCAGACGGUUACUUAAGCAGGAUGUGAAAUCCCCGGGCUCAACCUGGGAACUGCGUUCUGAACUGGGUGACUAGAGUGUGUCAGAGGGAGGUAGAAUUCCACGUGUAGCAGUGAAAUGCGUAGAGAUGUGGAGGAAUACCGAUGGCGAAGGCAGCCUCCUGGGAUAACACUGACGUUCAUGCUCGAAAGCGUGGGUAGCAAACAGGAUUAGAUACCCUGGUAGUCCACGCCCUAAACGAUGUCAAUUAGCUGUUGGGCAACUUGAUUGCUUAGUAGCGUAGCUAACGCGUGAAAUUGACCGCCUGGGGAGUACGGUCGCAAGAUUA